GUGCUUUAUAAUUAAAGUUUUAGGCCAAGCGUUGUUGGGUUCAGAAAAUGAAAUUUGAAUUGGAACUGAGAAGUAUGAAGACGUCCAAAAGUUGGGUAUACAAUGGUAUUAGUAUAGUGACAUUGCUAAAAUAUCUGCUAAAGAAAUUGCUAUUAAGGCCAAAGCCAUUAACACAUAUAUUUACUUAUCUUUUUCAACUGGAAUUAUUCCGCACAAUUUAAACUAUUGCACUAUAGUUAAUACACUAAUUUUUAAAGGCAAUGAAGAAAACAAAUUUGAAAAUUACCGACCAAUAUCAGUCCUAUAGGCUAUACGUGUUUUUCAACUUACUAGAAAAACUUAUAACUAAGAAAUUAACAAAAUGUAUUGAUAAACACACAAGGGUGGGUUGACUACAAAAUUCUUGUAGUUCGCAAAAACUACAGCUACUUCAAGUAUAUGUAGUCAGCUACAACUAUAUACUGCUACUUUUGAACAAAGCCAAAGGUAUAGUUCCCUACUGACUACAGCUACUGCUUAAAAAAUGUAACGAACGUAUUUCGCUAUUUCGCUACGCUAUAUUUUUUAGUUUUACUAUAUUUGGAGCAUCUACUAACUCAGUCUGUAAUGUAACCCAUAGACUAUAACAAAUCGACUUACGAGUAGCAACAGUAAACACAAACAAAGCAACAUUUUUGCAAGCACUAUAUACAGUGUUCAGGACUGCAAAUUGCCUAUUGAGUAAUAAUAGUAAUAAUAAUAAUAAUGAUUAUUGAGUAUUGAUUUUAACCGGCAAACCGUGUCUCAAUAUCAUGCUAUUCUAUCAAGUUACUAUAAACAAUUUUAAAAAGUAACUACUUGGCUACUUUUAGGCGGCAAAAUGUAGUUCGCUAUAACUACAGCUACUGUUUUAAGAAAGUAGUCAAAAACUACUGGCUACUUGAAAAUUGUAGUUCGCUACAGUAGCGAACUACAACUACUUCGCUACUG